GGGCCAUGGCUCAGUGGUAGAGCAUCUGCUUUGUAUGCAAAAAGUCCCUGGUUCAAUUCCCGGAAUCUCCA